rnacentral:rRNA from 1 species
UACGUAGGGUGCGAGCGUUGUCCGGAAUUAUUGGGCGUAAAGAGCUCGUAGGCGGUCUGUCACGUCGAUCGUGAAAACUUGGGGCUUAACCCUGAGCGUGCGGUCGAUACGGGCAUGACUUGAGUUCGGCAGGGGAGACUGGAAUUCCUGGUGUAGCGGUGAAAUGCGCAGAUAUCAGGAGGAACACCGGUGGCGAAGGCGGGUCUCUGGGCCGAUACUGACGCUGAGGAGCGAAAGCGUGGGGAGCGAACAGG